GAUGAACGCUGGCGGCGUGCCUAAUACAUGCAAGUCGAGCGAACAGACGAGGAGCUUGCUCCUCUGACGUUAGCGGCGGACGGGUGAGUAACACGUGGAUAACCUACCUAUAAGACUGGGAUAACUUCGGGAAACCGGAGCUAAUACCGGAUAAUAUAUUGAACCGCAUGGUGCAAUAGUGAAAGACGGUUUUGCUGUCACUUAUAGAUGGAUCCGCGCCGCAUUAGCUAGUUGGUAAGGUAACGGCUUACCAAGGCAACGAUGCGUAGCCGACCUGAGAGGGUGAUCGGCCACACUGGAACUGAGACACGGUCCAGACUCCUACGGGAGGCAGCAGUAGGGACUCUUCCGCAAUGGGCGAAAGCCUGACGGAGCAACGCCGCGUGAGUGAUGAAGGUCUUCGGAUCGUAAAACUCUGUUAUUAGGGAAGAACAAAUGUGUAAGUAACUAUGCACGUCUUGACGGUACCUAAUCAGAAAGCCACGGCUAACUACGUG
rnacentral:rRNA from 1 species